rnacentral:rRNA from 1 species
UUCCGGUUGAUCCCGCCGGACCUGACUGCUAUCGGAUUGAUACUAAGCCAUGCGAGUCUUUGCAGUAAUGCAAGGCAUACGGCUCAGUAACACGUAGUCAACUUACCCUAUGGACGAGGAUAAUCUCGGGAAACUGAGCAUAAUACUCGAUAGAUCAUAAUGCCUGGAAUGGUUUAUGGUUAAAAUGAUUCGUCGCCAUAGGAUGGGACUGCGGCCUAUCAGCUUGUUGGUGAGGUAAUGGCCCACCAAGGCGAUUACAGGUACGGGCUCUGAGAGGAGAAGCCCGGAGAUGGGUACUGAGACAAGGACCCAGGCCCUAUGGGGCGCAGCAGGCGAGAAAACUUUGCAAUGUGCGAAAGCACGACAAGGUUAAUCCGAGUGAUUUCUGCUAAAGAAAUCUUUUGCAAGUCAUAAAACCACUAGUGAAUAAGGGGUGGGCAAGUUCUGGUGUCAGCCGCCGCGGUAAAACCAGCACCUCAAGUGGUCAGGAGGAUUAUUGGGCCUAAAGCAUCCGUAGCCGGCUCUGUAAGUUUUCGGUUAAAUCCAUGUGCUCAACGCAUGGGCUGCCGAAAAUACUGCAUAGCUAGGGAGUGGGAGAGGUAGACGGUACUCAGUAGGAAGGGGUAAAAUCCUUUGAUCUAUUGAUGACCACCUGUGGCGAAGGCGGUCUACCAGAACACGUUCGACGGUGAGGGAUGAAAGCUGGGGGAGCAAACCGGAUUAGAUACCCGGGUAGUCCCAGCUGUAAACGAUGCAGACUCGAUGAUGCAUUGGCAUAUAGCCAGUGCAGUGUCGCAGGGAAGCCGUUAAGUCUGCCGCCUGGGAAGUACGUACGCAAGUAUGAAACUUAAAGGAAUUGGCGGGGGAGCACCACAAGGGGUGAAGCCUGCGGUUCAAUUGGAGUCAACGCCGGG